rnacentral:sRNA from 1 species
CUCCCAGUACCAUAUUAUAACUCAAGAAUGGCAAUCAUACGAGCAUUAUUUGUUUAACUUGGGGAUUGAACUUCCUUCCCAUGACUAUGAUAUCUAAUUGAACUAUAUCGGUACCAUUGAUAAGACCCUCCCGAAUCCCUACUCGAGGGCUACAAUGUUUUACACGUUGCGCGUGGCUUUCGAGUUUCAUUGUAUGCCGUAUGAUUAGGGGUCCCCGACAUGUCCUCCAAUGUGUGAAUGAUGACACUAGAAUAUGGCACCGCCCAUUUCCCUCCUUUCCUUUUAACAGGGUGGAAGCGGAACUGUGGUCGUGGAUGUACCUGAAGGACU